CACAGUUCUGCAUGCCUUUCGUCAGCUCGUGUCGUGAGAUGUUGGGUUAAGUCCCGCAACGAGCGCAACCCUUGUCUCUAGUUGCUACGAAAGGCACUCUAGAGAGACUGCCGGUGACAAACCGGAGGAAGGUGGGGAUGACGUCAAGUCCUCAUGGCCCUUAUGGGUAGGGCUUCACACGUCAUACAAUGGUGCAUACAGAGGGUUGCCAAGCCGCGAGGUGGAGCUAAUCCCAGAAAAUGCAUCGUAGUCCGGAUCGUAGUCUGCAACUCGACUACGUGAAGCUGGAAUCGCUAGUAAUCGCGGAUCAGCAUGCCGCGGUGAAUACGUUCCCGGGUCUUGUACACACCGCCCGUCACACCAUGGGAGUGGGCUUUACCAGAAGUAGUUAGCCUAACCGCAAGGAGGGCGAUUACCACGGUAGGGUUCAUGACUGGGGUC
rnacentral:rRNA from 1 species